rnacentral:rRNA from 1 species
GAUGAACGCUGGCGGCGUGCUUAACACAUGCAAGUCGAACGAAGCAAUUUUUUACGAUCCCUUCGGGGUGACGGUUUGUUGACUGAGUGGCGGACGGGUGAGUAACGCGUGGGUAACCUGCCUUGUACAGGGGGACAACAGUUGGAAACGACUGCUAAUACCGCAUAAGCGCACAGCUUCGCAUGAAGCAGUGUGAAAAGUUAUUUCGGUACAAGAUGGACCCGCGUCUGAUUAGCUAGUUGGUGAGGUAACGGCCCACCAAGGCGACGAUCAGUAGCCGACCUGAGAGGGUGACCGGCCACAUUGGGACUGAGACACGGCCCAAACUCCUACGGGAGGCAGCAGUGGGGAAUAUUGCACAAUGGGCGAAAGCCUGAUGCAGCGACGCCGCGUGAGCGAAGAAGUAUUUCGGUAUGUAAAGCUCUAUCAGCAGGGAAGAUAAUGACGUAC